rnacentral:tRNA from 1 species
GCCCAGAUAGCUCAGUUGGUAGAGCAAAGGACUGAAAAUCCUUGUGUCGGCGGUUCGAACCCGUCUCUGGGCACCA